AUCCUCCACUGAUGACCAGCACUGGGCACUGACUCUGAAUGCAGACAAACGUGCAUCUCUGGCCCUGACAAGCCAGAGUUCCUGAGGAGAAC
ensembl:snoRNA small nucleolar RNA SNORD88